GUGUUGGAGGGGGGCAAGCGCAGUGGCUCAUGCCUGUAAUCUAAGCACUUUGGGAGGCCGAGGCAGGCAGAACACUUGAGGUCAGGAGUUCAAGACCAUCCUGGCCAACAUGGUGAAACCCCAUCUCUACUGAAAAUAGAAAAUGAGCUGGGCAUAGUGACAGGUGCCUGUAAUCCAAGCUACUCCAGAGGCUGAGGCAGGAGAAUUGCCUGAAUCCAGGAGGCAGAAGUUGGAGCAAGCCAAGAUCUUGUCUGUGAACUCCACCCUUAGUGGACAGUGAGACUCUAUCUCAAAACAAACAACAACAACAACAAAGGUUCACGUGUUGGAAAUCUAAUUCCCAGUGUGACACUACUGGGACAUGAGACCUUUAAGAGGUGAUUAGGUCAUGAGGGCUCUACCUUCAUGAAUGGAUCACUGUCAUAACAAGGGUGGGUUUGUCAUAAAAGUCAGUCUGGCCCUCUCUUGCACUCUCUCAAGCAUGAGAUGCCAUCUAUCGAGCUAUGACACAGCAAGAAGACCAUCGCAAGAUGCUGAUCCCUUGGCUUUGGACUGCCCAGCCAUUCAAACUAUAAGGAAACUGACGCUUAGAGAGCCGGGUGUGUUAUUCAGCGUCCUACAGUGAAAUAGCAUCAGAACAAGAAGGAAUAAAAUGGGUUCUCCCUCCAUGUGGUCUUUCACAUGAGCUCUUCUGGGGUAGCCCUUCAGCUUGGCGAGAGAUUCCAAGAGUCUAACCUGGGAUUCAAGUGAGAUUUGGAAUUGCUUUUGUGGUGGUACGAGUUGGAUCUGUUGUGAGCUGGGAUGGGUCUGGGUUGGGUCUGCUUAAAUUUGAAGCUCUGUUUUGUCAUUCUUAGCUUUGGGAUCUUGAGCAAGUCGCUUGACAUUUCUAUUCUUCAGUUUCUAAAUCUAUCAAAUAAGGAUUAAAAAUAACUGCCUCUAGCCUGGUGAGGUGGCUCACACUUGUAAUCCCAGCACUUUGGGAGGCCAAGGUGGGUGGAUCUCUUGAGGUCAGGGGUUCAAGAUCAGCCUGGCCAACAUGGUGAAACCCUGUCUCUACUAAAAAUACAAAAAUUAGCUGGGUGUGGUGGCACACACCUGUAAUCCUAGCUGCUCAGGAGGCUGAGGCAGGAGAAUUGCUUAAACCUGGGAGGCAGAGGUUGUAGUGAGUGGAGACGGUGCCACUGCACUCCAGCCUGAGCGAAAGAGCGAGACUCCAUCUCAAACACAAACAAAAACCCAAGAAAACCUGCCUCAUAGAAUUGUUGUGAGAAUUAAACAAGCUAAUAUGCAUAAACAGUUUUCAAUAACAAUAAUGAUGUUCUAGUCCUCCCAGCCAUCACCAGCAUAGGGUGACUCUUGGCCGAUUCCCAAAGUGGUUGGGUGGUAUGUUGGGGGGUAGCUGUAUAAAUAUUGGGUAAUACUACACAAAGAGAAGUAUUCUGUAUUCAUCCCAUUGAAAAAACAUGUCUUGAGCAGCUUACUAUGUAGCAUAUCUAUCUUUAUGAUGUUCUCUCUAUUGGUAUGUAUAGGUACACCUUGAAAAGUAAGGAGAAACACAUUUUAGAGAUUGCUUCAUGAAAGGGGGCUCUGGGCCCUGGUUCCUGGCUCUAUCCAACUGACACCUUAGGAAGCUUGAGGGAAUGAACCUCUGGCAUUGAACUCAAGAUUGCGAGGCCUCCUGCAGAAUGGUAGUCAGUCAGCAGCUAUCCACUGGAUUCAAAGUCAAAACAUCACCCUCUUGUUGAUAGCUUACAGCCAAACAGCCAAACAGAGCUAUAGAUGUAAGAGGCAAGGAGUUUGCUGAGUGCAUCGGAAGGCCAAAUUUCUAACGAAAUGAAUCAGGUUGGGAGCCUGCAUCAUUCUUUCUUAAAAAUGCCAACACUUGGAAUUUGUAAAAAUGUUGCCCUUACAAGUCUUAUUGUUUAUUUAUUUUUAUUUUGUUAUUGUUCCUCUUCCUCUGUCAACUGAUACAAGUCUUAUCUGUAUCAUUUAUACGCUUAACACUACAUGCUCAUCCAUAUUCUGUUUGCUUAUCUCCCACACUUCCCUCAGAUUUCUAGCUCUCUCAGGACUUAUCCAUAUCUUUGUAUAUCUUGGAGUGUUUAGUGUGAUAAACUAUGUAGUACGUGCUCUUGAUACGUGUCUGUAGAAUUGAGCUGUACUGCACAUCGCCUGAAAUUUUUCAAAACUGGAGACAAAAAGGAAAUCCAACAGGGUUUCAGAGAUUGAAAAAAAAAUCAGAAAAAGUUCAAAAAAAAAAAAAAAAAAAAAAACCAGCGACAAAAUAUCAACACAGUUGCUUCAAGUCUGGAAACUAGAAGUCAGUGGAACAAUGCCUUCUGAAGGAAAACCAUUUCUUACCUAGAAUACUAUAUCCAAACUACCAAAAAAUCAAUUUGAGAAGGGAUUGAAACAGUUCAGAUAUGCAGAGUUUCACAAAAAAUGAUACUGCCUUAUCUUCGCUCUCAGGAAGCUGCUGAAGGAUGUGGUCCAUCAAAACAAGGAAGGAAACCUAGUGAGAGCAAGAGAUUAAGGCUGAGGAAACCAGGAGAGGCAGGCAAUGAGGAAGCUCCUGGGUAGACAGCUAUCUACUAGGCAUAGAAAGCAGCGUACUCAGGUUGAAGCUGCUUCAAAGACCCCAGGAAAGAGUUCUUCAAGAAGGUCACACUGAAAGAAUCAUGUCUGAAAAUAUUGCAAGGUUUACACAUUGGGGGAAGAUUAGGGGUUGGACUAAUGAUAAGUGCCACAAAUAUUACUAAGUAAAUAGGGGGAAGGAAGCAUUAUUAACUCCAGUGGAAUAAACAAAGCUAUGGAGGAAAAGGAAAAAAGUAAUCAUGAUAUACCUUAAGUGAUUUGUUUUGCAUAGCAUAAACACAAUCAUAAUAAAGCGAACACUGGAAAUUGAUGAUGGGGGAGUGUGAAGUGGGCACUAGUGAAGCAUUGAGAUGAGGGUGGGGUAAACAGUUAAACAAGGAGAAUGGGACCAGUCAUGGUGGCUCACACCUGUAAUCCCAGUACUUUGGGAAGCUGAGGUCAGUGGAUUCCUUGAGCUCAGGUGUUCACGGCCAGCCUGGGGAACAUAACUAGACCCUGUCUCUAUCAAAAGCAGAAACAAAACCAAAAACAAAACACAAAGAGAACCGGUCUUCUUCUCUGGGGUUUGCCUCUGAGCAGACCCUGGAGGAGAGGGAAUCCAGACUCCAUUAUGUGAUACUUGUCUGCCAUAUUGAAAAGACUAUAGCAUGUAAGUGCCUAACAUGGAAAAAGUCCGGAAGAGUGCAUAUACCCAUGGUACUUACAGCUAUGGUGGUAAGUACCAAAAUACUUGAGAAGAAUUGGGUGGCUCAUGCCUGUAAUCUCAGCACUUUGAGAGGCCAAGGCAGGAGAAUCAGUUGAGCUCAGGAGUGCAAGAGCAGCCUGGGUAACAUAGCAAGAUCUCAUCUCUUAAAAAACAAAACAAAACAAAACAAAAAACCAAAAGAAAACAAAAAAAGCAAAAAAUUUUAAAGAAAAAAAUUACUGAAGAAAGAGAGAAGCUCAAGUCAAAUGGACAAACCAUGUACAGACAUUCCAGUCAAUAGACACAACCAAGCCCAGCCUUCAAGUUAUCCCACCCAGAAACCAGACAAGACAGAAGCAACUUCUAGGUGAUCCUAGUCCCAGUGAUUUGAGUUACACCAGCCUUUCUAGUCUUUCCAGUGGAAGGCCAGACAUCAUGGAGCAGAAAGAAGCCAUCUCUACCAUGCACUGUUCAAAUCCUGAUCUUCAGAAUCUAUGAGCAUAACAGCUCUUGAUUUAUAUCAUGGAUUUGGAGUAGCUUGUUACAUAGCAAAAUAUAAAUGAAAUUGGACUGUGUUAUGCCAUUCUGUUGAUUGCUUUUGUAUAUAUUUGAAAUUGUAACAAAACAUUUUUUUAAAUGUGAAAAAAAGAAAUUGAGAAGAGUUGGAAGUAGUGGUCUCUGGAGCACAGGAAAGGGGCGUAGACAACUGAUAUUUUUGAUACAUGAUUAUUUUAUUGUUCGAACUAUGUAUAACUAAUUUUUUUAACUUAACAAAACCCUAAAAUUAAAAAAUGGAAUCAAAUUGAACAGAGCUCCAGCUGCUUCACUGGGGCCCACAGAUGAUGUUCCUAGAGUUUAAACUGUUGGCGCUAAGAUGGACACCCAAGACUUCAACCCUGGAACCUUGGGAUGCCUCUUCAGCCGAGCUAUGUCCACCAAAGUCCAUCAGGGCAUCACCUCAGAGAAACUGUGUGUGUGAUCAGAGAAUCUAUUUCCCACGUCCUAGUCUUGCUUGACCAUUCCCUGGCCUUCGUUUUGCAUCUACCGUCUUUCAUACAUGUAGUGUCUGUGGGGCCUUAUCCCUACAACUUACGACUCAACUUCUGUCCCAUCAUCCAAAGACCUGUACCAGAGUCUACUUAUCUGGAAUUCUCUCUGCUGAUGCAGCGCACCACUAGCUCCCAGUGAGCCAAGCCUGAAGACUGAGGAUUACCCAGAUCCUCCUUCACUUACUCCCAGUGUCACAGAUGCUUCUUUCCUUACAGUCUUCCCUCCCGUCCUUUCUCUCUCUCUCUCUUUUUUCUUUUGAGAUGGAGUCUUGCUCUGUCACCCAGUCUGGAGUGCAGUGGUGCAAUCUCAGCUCACUGCAACCUCUGCCUCCCAGGUUCAAGCAAUUCUCCUGCCUCAGCCUCCCAAAUAGCUGGGAUUACAGGUAUGCACCACCAUGCUUGGCUAAUUUUUAUAUUUUUAGUAGAGAUAGGGUUUCACCGUGUUGGCCAGCCUGGUCUCUAACUCCCGACCUCGUGAUCAGCCUGCCUCAGCCUCCAAAAGUGCUGGGAUUACAGGCGUGAGCCACUGUGCCCAGCCCCCUCCUGUCCUUUCUCACUGCCACCACCCUGCUGUAGCCUCUUCUGGCUUCUCACUUCCAUCCCACGGCUGCCUCCUUGUUGCUCUCACUCAUUCAAUUUCAGCCAGAUGUUACCUCACAGGGCUUUCCAGUUCUCUUCAGGGUACCUUGCCUUGAACCCUCCAGUGGCCACCCCUAGCUCUCAGAAGCCUCAUACUCAGCUCUGUGCACAAGGUCUCCAUGAUGUUGUUCUGGCCACAUCUCCCACCACUGUCCACUCUACACUUUUGCUCCAGACAGGUGGAGCCACCUGCAGCUCCCCACAAGCAUGCUCCACAAUGCAGGACAAGCGUCCCCUCCUCCAGGAAGCCUUCCUCCAUGCCCUAAGUGUGAUUCAGAGGUUUCCUUCCCUGAACGUGCAGAUUUGUGGUAGCUCCUGUCACACAGUUUUUUUUUAAUGAAACAAACAUUUCAUAAAUGUUUGUUUACUUAAGUUAACCUCUCGGUAUACGCUCCUCAAGCUUGUGAAUCACAGCCUAUUCAUCCUCAAAUCCCAACCUCUUGCUUUGCGUCUGGCCCACAGAAGAGAAAUGAAGGACUGACUGCAUCAACUUCUUUCAUGCAUUUCCUAGAUGAGCCCUACUUCCAGGUGGCCUCAAAAUACAUAACAACAUGUCCAGGUUGUUCCAGAUGCUCAUGUCUCCUUUGUUUAUUGCAUCUUCCUUUCUCUUUUCUGGAAUGCUUCUCCUGUGGGGCUUGGGCCCCACUGCUAUCCCUCACUGAGCCCAUGAGUGGGAAAGUUGGGAGGGCAUUCCUGUGCCAUGGGGGAGUCUGGAUUUCUUCCUCCCCAGGGUCCUCUCAGCUCAGAGAGUCUCUAAGUCUGUCCUAGAAGGGAAUGUGCUUAGGAGCUCCUGAGGACUCAAGGAAGAAGAAGAUCCACUUUCCUCAGACGAGAGUCCAGAAGAAAGGCCUUCCAGCUGGACGUGUGGACUCUGGGCUGUGUCUGGGACACAUGGUUUGAAACAGUUUUUUCAAUUCCCUGGAAGUACAUGAGUACAUCUGGAAAGGCCUCAGAUGGCAUCAAUCCUCCUCUAAAGACAAGGUCCCUGUACAUUGGUCACUUUUUGUGUCCUCGGCUGCAUGUCCUUGGGUGUGAUCAUGGGUGUCCACUGUGUUAUUCUUCAUACCUGUUUUAUAUUUUAAAUGUUUCUUAAUAAUUAGAAAAUCAAAAAACAUUGCCCCAUAAAUAUGAGAAAGAGCUAACUUAAAAACGUGAGUCAAAGAGGAAGCAGAGAUAUUUAAAUGGCUUUUCUUUU